CACGGCAUCCUUGAUGGUGUUGGUAGAGAGCCACGGACGAGGCUGGCCUGAUGCAGGGGGCAUUUCCCCUGGCUAGUGUUGACGAGGUGCUGAGGAAGGGGUCUUGGGGAACCAUCAGAUUGCACCACCAGCCCCAGGCCUGACCCCCUACCCCAGGGAGGCCCCACUCAGCUUCUGCUUACCUGAGAGCCACUUUGGGGUCCAAUGUAUUCUCAGGGGACAAAGACCUGGAAGGAUCACAGGGUUUUGAGGUGAACAGCCCCACACAGGAGGGGAAGCCUGCCUUCUGGCACAUGAAGACCAAAAGACCAGUCAGUCUACACCGGCUGAGAGUUCAACUGAAUAAAAAUCUGCCGAGUCAAAGCAAAGGCCGCCCACCUCUGUCUGGCGGAGAGGACACUCCUGAGCAUGGACAUCCAGCCCUGCCCAGCCUGGUUGGAGAGACAGGCCUCUCUCAGGUUGUCCUGGGCUGUUACUCCUCUGGGCAGCUCAAGCCCUGGCACAUAUUUCUCUUAUUCAUUGUUAACUCCAAAUUCAAGCUAUUUGCUUACUGAUCUCUUUUCCCACUGGACUGUCAACCCCAGUGGCAAGAUGGGUGACUCAUUUCUGGCUGUCUGAGCAGUCCUUGCUUACCACCUGGUCAUGGUAGACUGUGCAGUAAAGAUGUGAAUGAAUGAAUAGUGAACGGCA